rnacentral:rRNA from 1 species
UAGGGAAUCUUCGGCAAUGGGCGAAAGUCUGACCGAGCAACGCCGCGUGAGUGAAGAAGGUUUUCGAAUCGUAAAACUCUGUUGGUAGAGAAGAACGUUGGUGAGAGUGGAAAGCUCAUCAAGUGACGGUAACUACCCAGAAAGGGACGGCUAACUACGUGCCAG